rnacentral:lncRNA from 1 species
AAAUUUAUUAUUUAUCUAUUUAUUUUUGUGGUACUGGGGAUUCAAUCCCAGUACAUCCUUAGUCCAUUUUAAUUUUAAUUUAUUUUUGUCCUUUUGAGUCAGGGUCUUGCUCUGCAGUUCAUGCUGGCCUCAAACUUACAGUGAUCCUCAUGCCUCAGCCUCCCUGGUGCUGGGAUUAUAGGUGUGCACCACCACGCCCAGCCCCUUUUUAUUUUUAACACAGGGUCUUGGUAUGUAGUUUAGGCUGGCCUUGACCUCACAGUGAGCCUUCUGUCUUGUCCUCCUAGCUCCUUUUUAAAAGCUUUUCAUUUUUUUUUUUUUUUGUUUUUCUUCCAGUACCAGGAAUCGAACCCACGACCUUGUGCUUGCCAGCUAGGUGCUGUACCGCUGAGCUAAGUCUCCAGCCCCUUAAAAGCUUUUCAUUUUUGAGUCUCACUAAGUGGCUAAAUCGCCCAUACUGGGCUUGAAUUUGCAACCCUCUUGCCUCAGCCUUCCAGAGCACUGGGAUUACAGGGAUGUGUCACAACGCCCAGUUUUGCUUGGAACAGCCCUUAGGGCCUCGGAGCCUGCCUGCUCUUGCCUCCCUUUCUCCGAUGAGGACUCUGAGGGCGAAGACGUUGGCCAGAAGUCACAGUGGCCCGCAGCCCGCGUCCGCCCUGCCGACGUCUGCCCGGUAAACAGAGCUGGCCCGCACCGGGGGUGGAGUCCCCGCGGGGACAGCCAUUCAAGGGCCUGGAGCAAGGACGAGGGGACAGAGCCUGUGCUGCGGGCAGCAGGCCUCGGGGCACCUGAGCCCCGCCCAGGCUCGGCGAGCUCCUGCGGGCCUUGCAGGUGCCAGGAGGCCCAGGCUCUCACUCCGGACCGCGUCCAGGGCCGCCAUCUCGGUCCCGCGCCGCAGCCGGCGGCACGCACAAGAGCCCCGCCCC